UUUAGCGUUAUUUGUUCUAGAAAUGAAAAAGGAAAGUGAAGAGAAAAGGAGAAGGGGGAAGUUGCAUCUACACUUGAAUCAUCACCUUCGUCCUUGAUGAACGAUGGAACUCAGACGAUGCUCUGGUGAAAUCACGACAUUGAUAGGUAAUAGAUUGGCUAAAUCACUCCAAUUAGUAGUCGUUGGUUCACAAUGCAGCAAGCUCGAGUAGAUAUCACAAGGGGCACUUAAACCUCUCACAAGCGCCAUGAUUCUAUCUCGAAGAACACUCCUUCAGCACUGCUCAUAUCAACAAUGUCGUUUUCAAUCAUUGAUCUAGAUUCGAGUGCAGCGCACGAUAGUUGAUUCAGGCGAUACUAGGAGUUUAUUCGAGCAAAGGAGCAAGGUCAGACCCUUGGGAAGUUGAAUGGAGAAAAGAAAGAUUUGAGAAGGAGUUGAAAGAAAAGGCUAAGAAAAGAGAAAAAGAAGAAUAUGCUAUGGUAGCUACUUGGGGAGUAGUCUCAGAAGAAUCAAUCAGAUGAGGAAGAGAUUGAUGAAACUGCUCUCAUGGCCAUUGGAGAUUCAGACAUGGAAGAAGAAAUAGCACCUCUGAGGUGUUGAAGUCAAAAGGGCAGAUACAAAGGAGGUGGUACUUACUGCAAAAAUACAGAAGAAUGUGUACAAAGUAAACAUACCAGCAACAAGGCUAACUUGUUUGAGCGUGAUGGAAAAUGAUCCCCUCCAAUGGCACAAAAGACUUGGACAUGCAAGUCUAAAAUAAUUAAACAAACUUUCUUCCAAAGACAUAGUGUUGGGCUUGCCCAAAACUAAGUUCAAAGAUGAGAAGGUUUGCAGUGCUUGUGUAAAGGGGAAGCAUGUAAGGUCCUCAUUCAAAUCAAAGAACCAGGUCAGCAAUGUCAAGUGCCUCGACCUGGUCCAUAUGAAUCUUUGUGGACCAAUGAGAAUUCAAAGUACAGGGGGAAAAAGGAAGAAAGUGACUCUGAAGAACAGUCAAUGAAACAUGAUGCACAUUCAGGUCUAUCGAUUGGAGAAACUGAAUCUGGAGGCACCUCAACAAAGGGAACUGGAGGCAUUCAGACAGGGGAACUGAAUCACCAUCUACUCCUGCUUAAACUAUUCAUGGCGAUCCUAUCAUUUCUUAAAAAUUGAUCCAAAAAAGACUUUCUACUCUCCACCACUGUCCAUUCAUCCAGAUCACCAACUACCUUGAAACAAGAUACCGUUCUUGGAGGGUAAUUGUUGGAACCAUAAGGUGUUGAUGCAGCUGGAGCAGUUGCAUGAUCAUUCACUUCAAUUUCCCUGUUAUUUUCAUCAUUCUUGUAAUAAUUCCUCAAGUUAGGGUUCAACUUUCUGCACCCCUCUUCAUUAUGUCCUUGUAAUCUAUACGUCUUGCAAUAUUUAGGCAAGGCAUCAUAUUGCACUCUUAACAUUUGUCAUGCGUUUUCUCCGGUAGCUUCAUCAACUAUGACCAUAUGUAUGAACUUGUGCAAAUUUGCAGCAAGAUCCACGUGGACCUUCACUCUUGUA